UUUAACCCCAGGAUCAGAAGGAAAUGGACAACCUAGCUGAAGGCAUUUCUCAGUUCGCUGAUUAUGAGAUUCCUGCGCUGCUGACUGAGGUGGCCGUGCAGAUAUCCCCUGCAAACAGAAAAUGAGGCUGUCCCUGUGAAAUGACCUGCUGGAGAAAAGGCUCAUUAAUCAGAAACAGGCCUGAGCCCAGUUCACCUUCUGCUCUGCUUUGACUUUGUGCCUACUGCAGUAGAAUGAGGAGUAACAACGGCAUCCUUCAUCUGCAGGGACUGCAAAAUGUUUGGAAAAGCUGCAUCCUCCGAACAGAAAAGUGGCACCAUUUCUGGGGACACAUGGAAAUUUACUUGCUUAGAGAGAGGGCACUCAUUUCCUUGAGACUGAAAAGGGAAUCUGGGAAUGCCAGCAGUCCUUUGGUUGGCUCUCAGACUUUCACAAGCCGUGCAAUGAGCCCUGGUAUCCACAGAUGGCCUGAGCUUCACAGAUCACAGCUCCCCUCAUGGGAGUGUUGAUGGACCCAAAGCACCACGGUGAGGGCUUUG
ensembl:lncRNA